AAUGCAGUCGAGCGAACGGACGAGAAGCUUGCUUCUCUGAUGUUAGCGGCGGACGGGUGAGUAACACGUGGAUAACCUACCUAUAAGACUGGGAUAACUUCGGGAAACCGGAGCUAAUACCGGAUAAUAUUUUGAACCGCAUGGUUCAAAAGUGAAAGACGGUCUUGCUGUCACUUAUAGAUGGAUCCGCGCUGCAUUAGCUAGUUGGUAAGGUAACGGCUUACCAAGGCAACGAUGCAUAGCCGACCUGAGAGGGUGAUCGGCCACACUGGAACUGAGACACGGUCCAGACUCCUACGGGAGGCAGCAGUAGGGAAUCUUCCGCAAUGGGCGAAAGCCUGACGGAGCAACGCCGCGUGAGUGAUGAAGGUCUUCGGAUCGUAAAACUCUGUUAUUAGGGAAGAACAUAUGUGUAAGUAACUGUGCACAUCUUGACGGUACCUAAUCAGAAAGCCACGGCUAACUACGUGCCAGCAGCCGCGGUAAUACGUAGGUGGCAAGCGUUAUCCGGAAUUAUUGGGCGUAAAGCGCGCGUAGGCGGUUUUUUAAGUCUGAUGUGAAAGCCCACGGCUCAACCGUGGAGGGUCAUUGGAAACUGGAAAACUUGAGUGCAGAAGAGGAAAGUGGAAUUCCAUGUGUAGCGGUGAAAUGCGCAGAGAUAUGGAGGAACACCAGUGGCGAAGGCGACUUUCUGGUCUGUAACUGACGCUGAUGUGCGAAAGCGUGGGGAUCAAACAGGAUUAGAUACCCUGGUAGUCCACGCCGUAAACGAUGAGUGCUAAGUGUUAGGGGGUUUCCGCCCCUUAGUGCUGCAGCUAACGCAUUAAGCACUCCGCCUGGGGAGUACGACCGCAAGGUUGAAACUCAAAGGAAUUGACGGGGACCCGCACAAGCGGUGGAGCAUGUGGUUUAAUUCGAAGCAACGCGAAGAACCUUACCAAAUCUUGACAUCCUUUGACAACUCUAGAGAUAGAGCUUUCCCCUUCGGGGGACAAAGUGACAGGUGGUGCAUGGUUGUCGUCAGCUCGUGUCGUGAGAUGUUGGGUUAAGUCCCGCAACGAGCGCAACCCUUAAGCUUAGUUGCCAUCAUUAAGUUGGGCACUCUAAGUUGACUGCCGGUGACAAACCGGAGGAAGGUGGGGAUGACGUCAAAUCAUCAUGCCCCUUAUGAUUUGGGCUACACACGUGCUACAAUGGACAAUACAAAGGGCAGCGAAACCGCGAGGUCAAGCAAAUCCCAUAAAGUUGUUCUCAGUUCGGAUUGUAGUCUGCAACUCGACUACAUGAAGCUGGAAUCGCUAGUAAUCGUAGAUCAGCAUGCUACGGUGAAUACGUUCCCGGGUCUUGUACACACCGCCCGUCACACCACGAGAGUUUGUAACACCCGAAGCCGGUGGAGUAACCUUUUAGGAGCUAGCCGUCGAAGGUGGGACAAAUGAUUGGGGGAA
rnacentral:rRNA from 1 species